rnacentral:rRNA from 1 species
GAACGCUGGCGGUAUGCUUAACGCAUGCAAGUCGUACGCAAGUUUUUAACUUGAGUGGCGGACGGGUGAGUAACACGUGAGAAUUCACCUUUAGGAGGGGAAUAACAAUUGGAAACGAUUGCUAAUGCCCCAUAUGCUCGUAAGAGUGAAAGGAAAGCAAUAGCUUAAUUCCGCCUAAAGAGAAGCUCGCGGCUGAUUAGCUAGUUGGUAAGGUAAUGGCUUACCAAGGCGACGAUCAGUAGCUGGUUUGAGAGAACGAUCAGCCACACUGGAACUGAGACACGGUCCAGACUCCUACGGGGGCAGCAGUGAGGAAUUUUCUGCAAUGGGCGAAAGCCUGACAGAGCAAUACCGCGUGAGGGAUGAAUGCCCACGGGUUGUAAACCUCUUUUGUCAAGGAGGAAGUUCUGACGUGUACUUGACGAAUAAGCAUCGGCUAACUCCGUGCCAGCAG